rnacentral:rRNA from 1 species
UACGAAGGGGGCUAGCGUUGCUCGGAAUCACUGGGCGUAAAGCGCACGUAGGCGGAUUGUUAAGUCAGGGGUGAAAUCCUGGAGCUCAACUCCAGAACUGCCUUUGAUACUGAAAAUCUUGAGUUCGGGAGAGGUGAGUGGAACUGCGAGUGUAGAGGUGAAAUUCGUAGAUAUUCGCAAGAACACCAGUGGCGAAGGCGGCUCACUGGCCCGAUACUGACGCUGAGGCACGAAAGCGUGGGGAGCAAACAGGG